rnacentral:rRNA from 1 species
AGCGAACGCUGGCGGCGUGCUUAAACACAUGCAAGUCGCGCGCGAAAAGGGAGCUUCGGUUUCUGAGUAGAGCGGCGAACGGGUGCGUAAGACGCGGGUGACCUAUCCUUGAGGCGGGAUACCCUCGAAAGAGGGCUAAUACCGAUGAGCCCACAGCAGAGAUGCCAGGGGCAAAGGUGCGAUUUAAUAGGCGCAUGUCUUCAGGGAGGGGCCCGUGGCCUAUCAGCUAGUUGGUGUGGUAACGGCGCACC